rnacentral:tRNA from 1 species
GGGGGUAUAGCUCAGCUGGGAGAGCGCUUGACUGGCAGUCAAGAGGUCAUCGGUUCGAUCCCGAUUAUCUCCACCA